rnacentral:misc_RNA from 1 species
UGGCAGCCAGUGCCCGCUCUA